rnacentral:lncRNA from 1 species
CAACAGCAGAAGGUCACCAACAGGUCUUCAAUGUAGCGAGAAAUUCCCGCAACCGGAGGCGUCCUUCAACUGGCCCCUAAACAAAUAUAUACUAGUUCAGUGAUAAUGAACGCCAUACUAAUUUCCAAAUUGUACACAAGAAACUAAAAUUAAAAUAAUACAAGACUAACAAAGGCCAGAGGCUCCUGACUUGGGACAGGCGCAAAAAUGCGGCGGGGUCAAACAUGUUUGUGAGAUCUCAACCCUUCCCCUAUAC